rnacentral:misc_RNA from 1 species
GUAAGUUCUCAUUGUAUGGAUUCCUCAAAUGACGAGUUUUCUGGAAGGAUAGUUCACACAACUUUAACCAUUUCACUGAAAAAUUCCGUCCAUAAUGUGCAGUUCCAUGUUCAUGCUUCCAAUUUCCUCCUUUAGCAGCACCACCAAUUCUAGAUGUCAUUUUUGCGAGACCCUGAAAAUGCCUGGUCCGAUUGAUUGAAAAAAUUAGAAUGAC